CUUUGUAUGAAAGAUAUUUUAAGUUCAACCCCUUUGACUAAGUUAACAGAUAAACAUUUACAAUAAAAUAUAGAAAAAGGGUCGCCGACACCAUCUCGAAAACCUUGACAAGAAAGUGAUUUCUGACGGUUUUUGUCAACGAACUGUACAGUGAUUAUUAUAAAACGCACAACGAACGCGACACAUUUGGUGGAACGAACAAUACAGUAAGAGAAAAUUUAUUUUGUAUGAUAUUGCGUUUAUUCUAAGUUCUAGGGCACAUUUGAAGGCACG
rnacentral:lncRNA from 1 species